rnacentral:rRNA from 1 species
GGUAGUCCACGCCCUAAACGAUGUCGAUUAGCUGUUGGGCAGCAUGACUGCUUAGUAGCGAAGCUAACGCGUGAAAUCGACCGCCUGGGGAGUACGGUCGCAAGAUUAAAACUCAAAGGAAUUGACGGGGACCCGCACAAGCGGUGGAUGAUGUGGAUUAAUUCGAUGCAACGCGAAGAACCUUACCUGGUCUUGACAUGUACGGAACCCUCCAGAGACGGAGGGGUGCCUUCGGGAGCCGUAACACAGGUGCUGCAUGGCUGUCGUCAGCUCGUGUCGUGAGAUGUUGGGUNNNNNNNNNNNNACGAGCGCAACCCUUGUCAUUAGUUGCCAUCAUUAAGUUGGGCACUCUAAUGAGACUGCCGGUGACAAGCCGGAGGAAGGUGGGGAUGACGUCAAGUCCUCAUGGCCCUUAUGACCAGGGCUUCACACGUCAUACAAUGGUCGGUACAGAGGGUAGCCAAGCCGCGAGGCGGAGCCAAUCUCACAAAACCGAUCGUAGUCCGGAUUGCACUCUGCAACUCGAGUGCAUGAAGUCGGAAUCGCUAGUAAUCGCAGGUCAGCAUACUGCGGUGAAUACGUUCCCGGGUNU